rnacentral:lncRNA from 1 species
UUAGAGACCAAUCCUUCUUGUCCAUGCAAUGACAGAAGACUAUAGAUUUUAUCCUUCUUGUCUGUAUAUAAGGAGAUGUUAUAGCAGCUUACACAACUGGGAACUCGAAUAUAUAUCCUGACUCUGAAAAAGUCUCAAACAUUUGAAUAGGCCAAUUGCUCCUGCUGGUUAGUUUUCAAUAUAUACCUAUCAAUGUAUUGAGCUAAAAUUUUAGCGAAGUGUUCUGGGCUCCAAUGCAUUAAGGUCUAACGGUAAAUGUAGGUAGCAC